GUGAAUCAUCAAAUCUUUGAACGCAUAUUGCACUCUCUGGUAUUCCGGAGAGUAUGCCUAUUUGAGGGUCAGUUAAAAUAAUAUAAAUUUCGAUGUUGUCUUUGGAACAAAAAUGGGGCGGUCGAGCUGUCGUGUGGUGGUCGCCUAAAAUGCAAGACAUGCUCAUUUCUUGAAUGUCUUGAUACUUUCAAUGACCGCGUGGCUUCACAAAGAAUCUUCGAGCGUGUUAAGAAUUAUU
rnacentral:misc_RNA from 1 species